CGGAGAGUUUGAUCCUGGCUCAGGACAAACGCUGGCGGCGUGCAUAAAACAUGCAAGUCGAACGGACUUCAGUCCGCAAGGACUGAAGUGAGUGGCGAACGGCUGAGUAACACGUAGGUGACCUGCCCCGAAGUGGGGGAUAACAACUCGAAAGAGUUGCUAAUACCGCAUGUGACCACCGAUCCAUUUCGGUGCUCAAAGUCGCAAGACGCUUUGGGAGGGGCCUGCGGCGGAUUAGCUAGUUGGUGUGGUAACGGCACACCAAGGCUUCGAUCCGUAGCUGGUCUGAGAGGAUGGCCAGCCAGACUGGGACUGAGACACGGCCCAGACUCCUACGGGAGGCAGCAGUUAGGAAUUUUGCGCAAUGGAGGAAACUCUGACGCAGCCACGCCGCGUGAGGGAUGAAGGCCUUCGGGUCGUAAACCUCUUUUCUCAGGGAA
rnacentral:rRNA from 1 species